AAAAACCCGGAAGUGACGUGUGGCGUAACGUCAGCAACAACAGUAGUCAAAAUGAGGCUGCAUGUUUGCGUUCAUCCAAUAUUACUUUUGAAACAAGAACAAACCUGAAGAACAUAGCCAUAAAUUACCUUGGACGCUAGUUUCUCAAACAGGCUUUCACUAAAAAAAGAGGAGUCUUAGGAAGACAGAAUUCACGCCAGUUCCACUGAUGAACUUUUCAUGCCUUAUUUUUUAAGACUGAUUGAAAUGUAAUAAAGUAAAAUGUUUACUGAUUUGUGAUUUAUUUUUUAUUUUAUUUUUUGGACUACAACCCUGUUACAUAAUGUGUUUGACAUUUGAAAUACCUUUAACUUCUAUAUCGUUUUUGUUUAAUAUCUAACUUAAAAAGUUCAGACUAUGUGUUUUCUUUUUAGAAUAUUGCAUGACAUCAUGCAUUAUGAUUCUAAAUGAGAUGUACAUAUUUAUAUACUGCUGUAAAUUACUGUUUUAUUUAUUUAUUUUAUUUAGGUAAAUUUAAGAAAGUUGAUGAUUAUUUUAAUGUUUGAUUGUAUCUCAUGUUCAGUGAAUUUACGAAAUAAACGGUUUGUUAUGUUGAA